rnacentral:tRNA from 1 species
AAUUCUAGUGGCAGAAUUAAAGUGCAUUGAAUUUAAGCUUCAAAUAUGAGAUUUAUCAACCGUCUCCUAGAGUUA